rnacentral:lncRNA from 1 species
GGGCAGUGAAGGUCUUGGAGCUCAGUCUGUAAGUCAUGGAUUCACCUGGGGCCGCAGAUUUCAGGCCUGGAAGGACUGGCCGGGAAAGCCCAGGAGGCCGCCAGACAUUCAGUGGUGUGGGGAGGGCACUGAUGACUUUGGGUAGGUUCUGGGAGGGACAAAGAGGCGGGGAGAAGAAAGAAGCUGUGGAGCAGAGAUGAGCUGUUUUGGACUUCUCCUGGGGGGCCUAGCUCCAAGGGUUCUGAGUACAGGUAGCAUUACUUGUCUUGGGGUCAUUGAUAGGGCAGAUAACGUGCACUGUUUGUGUGGUGUGGGUGCCCUGUGUGCCAUGUUUAAGGCAGUGUUUGUGUGAAGUGUGUGGUGCAGUGUAUACAGCAGGGGUGCUGCCUUGCAAGCUGUGCGCACAGAACGGGGUGUGCAGUAGUCGGUGCACACGUUAGCAUCAGGCAGUGGGGAAGGGGCAGUGUGUGCAGGAGGUACUGCAUGCUUUAUGGGCUGCGUAUGCAGCGCGCAGUGUUUGUGUGCACGUGUGUGCAUCAGGCAGUGCGUGGGUGUGGUGUGUAAGCAGGUAGUGAGUACCUUAUGGGCUAUGUAUACAGCAAGGCAUAUGCAUCAGGCAGUGUGUGGGCAGUAGGCAGUGUGUGUGUUUGUUAUCAGGCAGUAUAUGUGUGCAGUGUGCCGUGCGGCAGGCUACCUGUGUUUAUAUCGGGUAGUGUGUGUGUGUUUAUGUGCAGCAAGGGUGUGCAGUAGGUAUGCAGUAGACUGUGUGCAGCAGGCAGUGUGUGUGUGUGUACAGCAGGUGGUGUGCAGCAGGCAGUGUGUGUAUGUAUCAGGCGGUGUGUGGUGUGUGUUUAUGUGCAGCAUGCAGCGAGUACUUUGUUGUACAGCAG